rnacentral:rRNA from 1 species
UAACGAAUAUUGGGCAAUGGGCGAAAGCCUGACCCAGCAAUGCCGCGUGCAGGACGAAGUCCUUCGGGAUGUAAACUGCUUUUCUGAGGAAAGAAUAGCCGAGAGAGGAAAUGCCCUUGGUUUGACGGUACCUCAGGAAUAAGCAACGGCUAACUCCGUGCCAGCAGCCGCGGUAAUACGGAGGUUGCGAGCGUUGUUCGGAAUUACUGGGCGUAAAGGGAGCGCAGGCGGUCCGGUCAGUCUAAAGUGAAAUCCCGGGGCUUAACCUUGGAAGUGCUUUGGAUACUGCCGGACUUGAGUACGUGAGAGGAGAGCGGAAUUCCAGGUGUAGCGGUGAAAUGCGUAGAUAUCUGGAGGAACACCUGUGGCGAAAGCGGCUCUCUGGCACGAAACUGACGCUGAGGCUCGAAAGCGUGGGGAGCAAACG